UACGUAGGGUGCAAGCGUUGUCCGGAAUUAUUGGGCGUAAAGAGCUCGUAGGCGGUCUGUCGCGUCGGCUGUGAAAACCUGGGGCUUAACUCCGGGCCUGCAGCCGAUACGGGCAGACUAGAGUUCGGCAGGGGAGACUGGAAUUCCUGGUGUAGCGGUGAAAUGCGCAGAUAUCAGGAGGAACACCGGUGGCGAAGGCGGGUCUCUGGGCCGAAACUGACGCUGAGGAGCGAAAGCGUGGGGAGCAAACGGG
rnacentral:rRNA from 1 species